AAAUUGAAGAGUUUGAUCAUGGCUCAGAUUGAACGCUGGCGGCAGGCCUAACACAUGCAAGUCGAACGGUAGCACAGAGAGCUUGCUCUCGGGUGACGAGUGGCGGACGGGUGAGUAAUGUCUGGGAAA
rnacentral:rRNA from 3 species